rnacentral:rRNA from 1 species
CUGUGACGUUUCUGACAGAAGAAGCACCGGCUAACUCCGUGCCAGCAGCCGCGGUAAUACGGAGGGUGCGAGCGUUAAUCGGAAUUACUGGGCGUAAAGCGUACGCAGGCGGUUUGUUAAGCGAGAUGUGAAAGCCCCGGGCUCAACCUGGGAACUGCAUUUCGAACUGGCAAACUAGAGUGUGAUAGAGGGUGGUAGAAUUUCAGGUGUAGCGGUGAAAUGCGUAGAGAUCUGAAGGAAUACCGAUGGCGAAGGCAGCCACCUGGGUCAACACUGACGCUCAUGUACGAAAGCGUGGGGAGCAAACAGGAUUAGAUACCCUGGUAGUCCACGCCGUAAACGAUGUCUACUAGAAGCUCGGAGCCUCGGCUCUGUUUUUCAAAGCUAACGCAUUAAGUAGACCGCCUGGGGAGUACGGCCGCAAGGUUAAAACUC